UCCGAAGGGCAUACCUGUUCGAGCGUCAUUUCAACCGUCAAGCUUGGCUUGGUGUUGGGUGUUUGUCCCGCCGUAUACGUGGACUCGCCUUAAAAGAAUCGGCGUCUGCAUGUAGACCUGAUGCGUAGUAAAAUUCGCAGACCAGGCUUCUGUGCUGGCGGCCGGAACGCACUAUAUCUUUUUGUUUGACCUCGGAUCAGGUAGGGAUACCCGCUGAACUUAAGCAUAUCAAUAAGCGGAGGAAAAGAAACCAACAGGGAUUGCCCUAGUAACGGCGAGUGAAGCGGCAACAGCUCAAAUUUGAAAUCUGGCCCCCUGCGGGGUCCGAGUUGUAAUUUGUAGAGGGUGUUUCGGCGCAGUCCCCAGCCUAAGUUCCUUGGAACGGGACGUCAUAGAGGGUGAGAACCCCGUAUGCGGCUGGUGUGCUGUGCCAUGUGAAACCCCUUCGACGAGUCGAGUUGUUUGGGAAUGCAGCUCUAAAUGGGAGGUAUAUUUCUUCUAAAGCUAAAUACUGGCCAGAGACCGAUAGCGCACAAGUAGAGUGAUCGAAAGAUGAAAAGCACUUUGGAAAGAGAGUCAAACAGCACGUGAAAUUGUUGAAAGGGAAGCGCUUGCCACCAGACUUGUUGGCCGUCGUUCAUCCCGGGAUUUCCCCGGGUGCAUUCGGCGGCGGWCAGGCCAGCAUCAGUGGGGGCGGUCGGACAAAGGCGUAGGGAAUGUGGCUCUCUCCGGGGAGUGUUAUAGCCCUGCGCGUC
rnacentral:rRNA from 2 species